AAUGGGGGGAGGCAAAGAGCGAGAGAGAUUAGCCCGUAACUGAACUGGCUCUGGUUCAAUACUCCCUCUAUUUUAUAAUAUAAGUAGUUUUGGGUAAAAAUAUGAAGAUUAAGAAAAUUAUUAUGUUUUAAAAAAAUAUUUUAUAAUAAAUAGGUUAAAUAUAAUUUAACCAAUAAAAAAUAAGUAUAUUUAAUUUGAUUAGUCAUACUGUAUUCAAUAAAUGUAAAAGUUACUUAGAAAUACGAAAACUACUUACAUUUUGAAACAAAAACAUUUUUUUA
rnacentral:lncRNA from 1 species